GGGUGAGACGCUUGACUCUCACUGAUCUGCAGCACCGAAGCCUUGCCCAGUACUGAGAAGAGGUGGAGGAUGGGGGUCCGACCUGUGCCACAGAGCCAGAGGAGAUGUCACCUUGGAAUUUGCAACAAAAGCUCUCACUGAGCAAAGACCCUGGGACUUUGUCAAGACUGUUCUCCUGAGCUGCUUGUACUGCCAGCUUCUGCUGGGGCCACUGACCACCGAAUGCUUGCUACCUCAGAGCUGGGCGUGCCUGCUAACACCGUACAGAGACAGCAAUGCCUUCCACCUGUGGGGCUACUGCCCACAGAUACUCUGCUUCUGGCUUCACAGGUUCCAGUUCUGGACUCUGAGGGCAUUGCACUCGCAUGCACAUAUCAACGUACGGACACACAUUUAUACACAAUAUAAAAUGAAUCUUUAAAAAAUAAAUGAAACAAAAAGAGUGGGAAGCUUCCUCAUGCAAGCAGAGUGUGAUUAGCCCGGGAGGCCACAGCUGGACAACGUGUGGAGAAUAGGAGACUGCAGAGUACAUGACCCUGUGUAGGACACCUGCAUCAAAGCUCUGCCUCCCAGGGCGUAGGGACCAUUGUGGACGCAGGGCCAGAAAGACUGUAAGAGCCAGGGGUGGUGGAUGAUCAUAGCGAACAGAGCUUUCCAGACUUUCCAGGUGGGAACUUGCUCAUACGAACUUACACAAUGGUGACAGCAGAAUAAACCUAUGCAGGCUCAAGCUGGACAAAAACCCAGCAUAGAAAUGGGAGAUGGGUGGGAAGCCUCAACCUGUGCUGAGAUGCUAUUGGCAACCCAUGGCUACUGGGAGAGGGAGACUUGGUUUUCUUUAAGGAAAUG